AUGCCUCUUCAGUCUAUUGCUCAACGGCCUAUGGCUUCUAGAGUAGAGAGAAUUCCUAGAGCCUUUCCAGACCAGAUAAAGUCCUUCUAUCCAGCAGCUAGUUGUACAGCAGAGUUCUGGUUCACAAAAUCUGAGCCCAUCUUGGUAUUGCGGCUGCGAAGUAUUCUCGCUAAGCAUAUCAGCGAAUAUCAACUCACUAUUCCUGGGCCCAACCUCGAAAUGGCCAAGGCUUGA